AUUGAGCGCUGGCGGCAGGCCUAACACAUGCAAGUCGAGCGGAUGAAGGGAGCUUGCUCCUGGAUUCAGCGGCGGACGGGUGAGUAAUGCCUAGGAAUCUGCCUGGUCGUGGGGGAUAACGUCCGGAAACGGGCGCUAAUACCGCAUACGUCCUGAGGUCGAAAGUGGGGGAUCUUCGGACCUCACGCUAUCAGAUGAGCCUAGGUCGGAUUAGCUAGUUGGUGGGGUAAAGGCCUACCAAGGCGACUAUCCGUAACUGGUCUGAGAGGAUGAUCAGUCACACUGGAACUGAGACACGGUCCAGACUCCUACGGGAGGCAGCAGUGGGGAAUAUUGGACGAUGGGCGAGAGCCUGAUCCAGCCAUGCCGCGGGUGUGAAGAAGGUCUUCGGAUUGGAAAGCACUUUAAGUUGGGAGGAAGGGCAGUAAGUUAAUACCUUGCUGUUUUGACGUUACCAACAGAAUAAGCACCGGCUAACUUCGUG
rnacentral:rRNA from 1 species